GACGAACGCUGGCGGCGUGCUUAACACAUGCAAGUCGAACGGAAAGGCCCUGCUUUUGUGGGGUGCUCGAGUGGCGAACGGGGGAGUAACACGUGAGUAACCUGCCCUUGACUUUGGGAUAACUUCAGGAAACUGGGGCUAAUACCGGAUAGGAGCUCCUGCUGCAUGGUGGGGGUUGGAAAGUUUCGGCGGUGGGGGAUGGACUCGCGGCUUAUGAGCUUGGUGGGGGGGUAGUGGCUGACCAAGGCUUUGACGGAUAGCCGGCCUGAGAGGGUGACCGGCCACAUUGGGACUGAGAUACGGCCCAGACGCCUACGGGAGGCAGCAGUGGGGAAUAUUGCACAAUGGGCGGAAGCCUGAUGCAGCAACGCCGCGUGCGGGAUGACGGCCUUCGGGUUGUAAACCGCUUUCGCCUGUGACGAAGCGUGAGUGACGGUAAUGGGUAAAGAAGCAACGGCUAACUACGUG
rnacentral:rRNA from 1 species